GUGGCACCCGCCGGAGCUCCGGCGGCCGCCGGCUUAUUUUGAAAGCCCUGAACCCACCUCUAAUUUCAUAUUUUACUAGCAACAAAUGAUGGAUCAAAUUUAACAGUUAUGAUAUAAUAACAUUCUCUUCAGGAGCGGAAAUAUAUAGCAAGUCUACUAAAUAUAACGAUGGGGAGAAAAUUUUGAGUCUUAAAAUCGUCGGAAAUGGCAUUUUAAGUGUCUUCUUUAUCUCUUUCACCAUCCCAUGAUCAGACAAUAUUGUUAUACACUCGGCUUUCUACAGGCUUCAUUAAUAUUUUUGUGUGCCUGCGAGCGGAAAUUAGAGGUUGGUAAAACAGCAGCAUUACAACAGCUUAACACUAAUAUAACUACACUGUAGUGUAGUGACUGUUCCAAAACACUGAUGUGGUUUGAACAGUUUCAAGAAUGAUCACAGAAAUGUACCUGCAGAAAGCGCGCUCGUGCAUAUUAAUGAAGCCUGCAUGGCUUUCUAGGCCACUUGAGCAGAUUUUACUUUGACCCACCCCAUAACUUGUGUUAAUUCUUGAAGACC